ACAUCGGCGAAUUGGAAAAGUGGCUGGACAAAUGGAAAAUAAAGGUCAAUGCAACAAAAUGUACUGACGUUACAUUUACUUUAAGACGAGAAAAUUGUCCUCGGUACAGAUAAACAAUAUAAAAUUUCCUGAAUAAAGCCAUGUGAAAUAUCUUGGUAUCCACUUUGAUCGCCGCUUAAUAUGAACUCACCACAUUGAAGCCAAGGUUACACAAAUAAAAGUAAAUUCAGCACAAAUGUACUAGCUAAUUGGACCACGGUCAGCUCUAGACUUUAAGUACAAAGUGCUUUUGUACAAAACAGUUAUAAAACCGAUAUGGCUAUACGGCAUUUAACUGUGGGGAACAGCCUCCUCAUCUAAUGUUGAAAAAUUACAAAGAAAGCAGUCAGUACUGUUAAGGUCAAUAAUACAUUCGCAAUAGUAAUAUUCAUAGGGAUCUCAAUGUCCCCAUAAUACGCGAGGAGAUCAAAUUCUCUUGUUUAACCUACUUGUCGAAACUAUUGGAUCACCCAAAUCUCCUUGCCAGGUCAUAAACGACUGAGAAGAAUAGAAACAUUGGAUUUUGCCAUAUAAUCAAAUUAUCGAGGACUUUGGUUGAAUUUGCACCGGUAAUAACAACGUUAGUUAUAACUUAGAUUAAGAUUUAAAUACUUAUUGCAAAUUUCUACAUAAGAAAGAUUCAAUAAAGAAUAAUAAAAGGAAAAAAAUCAGAUUUUACUUUCUGUAACAGGUCGGUCGGUUUCGCCCGACUAUAAUUUCUGACUUGUUUAUUUUAUUGAAGCCUUGUUCCUAGUUGGCUUUACAUAACAAUAUAUUGUUCACGGACCUUCAGAAAUUCUUUUCUAGCCAUUUGUAACUUUUAAAUCCCUAAUUUCAAAUUUACCAUGUUUUAACAUUCCUUAAUGUUAAACAAGGAAUGACAAACUUAUAAAUAAUGCGAAAAACGAGUUUUAAUUUUUAGUACGAAAUUGUAUAGUUUCUUUUAUGUUCUUUUUAGAAGUGGUAACAGAAAUUACAAUUUUAUUGUCAACCAAAUUAUAUACUUUUACACUAAACAAAAGUUACUUUUUUCAGAUAUCAAACCAUACUCCAAUGAUUUUUUCAUUUCAAAAGAACGUUUUACAUCCAUUACAUGUUUCUUGACAUUCAAUCUAUUUGCUAUGUUAGGAAGUUUAAUGACAUCUUGGAUUCAAUGGCCAAAAGCAAAUUUGCUAUGUAUACCUGUCAUACUGCGUGCUGUGUUUCUACCUUUGUUUUUGUUCUGUAAUUAUAUACCGAAAAGUACAAUAAGAUCGCUUCCUGUGAUUAUUACUAACGACUGGGCUUACUGGCUAAUAGCUAUCAUUAUGUCCUUCAGCUCUGGUUAUUUAAGCUCUUUGGGAAUGAUGUAUGCUCCACAGAUGGUAUUACCAAAAUAUCAAAUUACAGCAGGGAUGUUUGCUGCUGCUAUGUUAAUAACGGGAAUUUUUUCAGGAAUAAUAUUUUCUUUUAUUUUACCUUCAUUGGUAGCCAUUUAAAUAUUUUAUGUAGAAUUAAUAAUAAAAAUCAAUUCGCAACGAAACAAUAAAUAAUUUUGUUUCUUUAAAGUUA